UUACAUAUUUAUUAUAUUACUAUAGCAUUAUAUCCCAUGCUUCGACCUAUCAAAUUCAUGCCAUUUCUUGUCCUAUAUACGUGCCUAUAAAUAACUCUAUCAAUCUUGUCUCUAAUCAUUAUUAACUUCCUCAUUCCUUAAUUUCAUCAAAACUACAAUUAUAACGUUUAUGUCAUGGAUUCUGGUCUCUGCGUAGUGUUGGUAAGAUGAAGGGUUCUAUGUGGGGCUAUU
rnacentral:lncRNA from 1 species